AAGUUUCGUAGUCCUGGCGUCAGGAUGAACGCUGGCGGCGUGCUUAACACAUGCAAGUCGAGCGAAGCAUUCUGCUUAAUCUUCGGAGGCGAAGCAGUCUGACUGAGCGGCGGACGGGUGAGUAACGCGUGGGCAACCUGCCUCAUACAGGGGGAUAACAGUUAGAAAUGACUGCUAAUACCGCAUAAGACCGCGGUACCGCAUGGUACAGCGGUAAAAACUCCGGUGGUAUGAGAUGGGCCCGCGUCUGAUUAGCUAGUUGGCGGGGUAACGGCCCACCAAGGCGACGAUCAGUAGCCGCCUAAAAAAAAGGAGGGUGACCGGCCACAUUGGGACUGAGACACGGCCCAAACUCCUACGGGAGGCAGCAGUGGGGAAUAUUGCACAAUGGGGGAAACCCUGAUGCAGCGACGCCGCGUGAGCGAUGAAGUAUUUCGGUAUGUAAAGCUCUAUCAGCAGGGAAGAAAAUGACGGUACCUGACUAAGAAGCCCCGGCUAACUACGUG
rnacentral:rRNA from 1 species